rnacentral:sRNA from 12 species
UGGAUUUAUUUCCAUAUCAAAGAUAUACUCAUCAUUAAUUGAUGAGAUUAUUUUAAUUAGUCGUGUGUGCUUAUGCUCGUGAGGGUGUCAGUAUACAAAAUUUUAAAGUUGAGU